rnacentral:rRNA from 1 species
UACGUAGGGUGCGAGCGUUGUCCGGAAUUAUUGGGCGUAAAGGGCGCGUAGGUGGCGGCCCAAGUCCAUGGUGAAAGCUCGCCGCUCAACGGCGAGUCGGCCACGGAUACUGGGUUGCUCGAGCACUGUAGGGGCAGAUGGAAUUCCGGGUGUAGCGGUGGAAUGCGUAGAGAUCCGGAAGAACACCAGUGGCGAAGGCGGUCUGCUGGGCAGUAGCUGACACUGAUGCGCGACAGCGUGGGGAGCAAACAGG